CAGCUGGGCCACGCCCCGAUCAGGCCCCAGCUGGCCUGUAUAAAAAGGCUGUGAGCCAGAAGCCCAAGGAGUCUCUCUUCAGACUGGGAGAAAGCAGGGCCUGCCUGGGUACUGAGGUUGGUGCAGUGCUGGGGAAGGAGCAGGCUGAGUGGGGGUGCUCCAGGCUGUAGGGCUUGGUCCAAGGCCCACAGAAGUACUGGGAUGCAGAGGAAGGCAGCAGCUCUGGAAAAUGUAUAAAAUGACAUUAGUUUGAUGUGGAAGAAGAUACAAACCCCCCCUCAGAAAGAAGAGCAUUUGCCACCAGACUGGGUUACUGUGCUAAAGAAACAGAUUGACCAGCAGGGGAAGUUAACAGAUACAUCCAGAAGAGAAGUGACACACUAGGGGAACACAGUGAAGCAGCUGUAAGAGAUGAACUACAAUGAGCAAGCUCACCGAAGAGGAGAUGAGCUACAAGGGACAGAACUCAGUGAAGCAACUGGAAGAGAUGAGAAGCACUAAAAGAGCUGGUAACAGCCCUCAAGCACUCCCCCUCACUAAAAAACAGAACUUAAUGCAUUGAAUUUCCCUUACUAUUUUUAAGUAUUAUAUUCAGGUCAGCAUUUAAUAAAAGUUUUCUCAAGGUGA